ACACAGCUCAGUUGGUUAGAGCGUUGUGCUGAUAAUGCCAAGGAUACAGGUUUGAUCCCUUUAUAGUACAGCUGUA